CAUAUCAAUAAGCGGAGGAAAAGAAACCAACAGGGAUUGCCUUAGUAACGGCGAGUGAAGCGGCAACAGCUCAAAUUUGAAAUCUGGCCCUCGGGUCCGAAUUGUAAUUUGUAGAGGAUGAUUUUGGUGCGGUAUCUUCCGAGUUCCUUGGAACAGGACGCCUUAGAGGGUGAGAGCCCCGUACGGUUGAAUGCCUAGCCUCUGUAAAUCUCCUUCGACGAGUCGAGUAGUUUGGGAAUGCUGCUCUAAAUGGGAGGUAAAUUUCUUCUAAAGCUAAAUAUUGGCCAGAGACCGAUAGCGCACAAGUAGAGUGAUCGAAAGAUGAAAAGCACUUUGAAAAGAGGGUUAAAUAGCACGUGAAAUUGUUGAAAGGGAAGGAUUUGUGACCAGACUUUUUCUGGGCGGAUCAUCCGGGGUUCUCUCCGGUGCACUUUGCCCAGUAAAGGCCAGCAUCGAUUUUCGGCGGCGGAUAAAAGCAGUGGGAAUGUGGCUCCCCUCGGGGAGUGUUAUAGCCCAUUGUAUAAUACGCUGCUGGGGAUCGAGGUACGCGCUUCUGCAAGGAUGCUGGCGUAAUGGUUAUCAAUCACCCGUCUUGAAACACGGACCAAGGAGUCGAACAUUUAUGCGAGUGUUUGGGUGUUAAACCCUCACGCGUAAUGAAAGUGAACGGAGGUGAGAGCCCGUACGGGUGCAUCAUCGACCGAUCCUGAAGUUUUCGGAUGGAUUUGAGUAAGAGCAUAACUGUUCGGACCCGAAAGAUGGUGAACUAUGCGUGGAUAGGGUGAAGCCAGAGGAAACUCUGGUGGAGGCUCGCAGCGGUUCUGACGUGCAAAUCGAUCGUCAAAUCUGCGCAUGGGGGCGAAAGACUAAUCGAACCAUCUAGUAGCUGGUUACCGCCG
rnacentral:rRNA from 1 species